CAUAUGUCCAUUGCUAUUUAAGCACACGAAUUAGUACAAUGCCGUAUGACAAAAUUUGCGAAAUAAAUGCAGAGAAGCGGAUCGGAGUUGUCGUUGGCUUGGUAUCUAACAUGGCGACAGUAUAUACGCAUGGUGAAUCAAUACACGACCAAAUAGAUAAGUAGCAUGCCACGUGUCUACUACGACUUUCGUCACAAUGUUACCGUUCGCGCUAGUACACUAAUUUUCACUUACUAACUUCGAAAAAAAAAAUUAUCAAUGGGUGACAAAGCACUGAAUAUUUAUUAAAGAAAAUAUGUGAAUAUAUUCGACUUUUAGUAUGUAAUAUGCUUCAAGUUGAUUCAAAACAGAUUAAUCAGUAGAAUCAAAAUAAUUACGUAUAUUCUAAAAAUAACGAUGUGGCAGUCAUAAAUUCCAUUGACGCCAAAACAUUGAUGUUUACAUUUUUUCGCAUCCUGUAAUUUGUGGCUUACGUGAUAUAUUAUUUAUACCAAAAAUGUACCUUGUUUGUAAUUUAUUACGUCAUUAAAUACACUGACUUAGGUUACAACAUGUAAUGUUGGUAAGUGAAAGGCAUUUCCCUCCUGAACUAGGGCACACAAGAUGUUUCAAGUAUGCAUACAUGAAUUAUUUUCUACCAGUUAAUCGUUUUAUUUUAUAAAAUAUACAGUAAUUACAUCUUUCGAUUUAGUACCCUCAAUAAGCAAAAAGAAAAGAAAGGGAAGUCAAAAUAGACCACAAAACUUACCCAUACAAUGAGCGCACCAAACAAACAAAAACUUUCUCUCCUCGGAAGCUUGACACAAUUCACAC